AUACGGAGGAUCCGAGCGUUAUCCGGAUUUAUUGGGCUUAAAGGGUGCGCAGGCGGCCAUUUAAGGCAGCGGUUAAAUCGUGGGGCUCAACCCCAUCCUGCCGUUGAUACUGGGUGGCUUGAUUGCGGUCGAGGCUGGCGGAAUUCGUUGUGUAUCGGUGAAAUGCAUAGAUAUGACGAAGAACACCGAUUGCGUAGGCAGCUGACCAGACCGCAAAUGACGCUCAUGCACGAAAGUGCGGGGAUCGAACAGGAUUAGAUACCCUGGUAGUCCGCACAGUAAACGAUGAAUACUUGUUUUCGGCGAUAUAAUGUCGGAGGCAAAGCGAAAGCGAUAAGUAUUCCACCUGGGGAGUACGCCGGCAACGGUGAAACUCAAAUGAAUUGGCGGGG
rnacentral:rRNA from 1 species